GGCAAUGGAAACCUUCCAACUUUACCACUUACAACAAUUUCCCUUAGUCUCCACAUUCUGUUUGUCUUAGAACCAUUAAAUCACCUCCAAAACAUCAACAACAAGGCUUCUACGUUGCUGAAAACCGUCCUUUGAUGUUAAACACUAUUCACCUAGCAAAUGUGAUAUUCAGCCACUUUCUGACUUCAAAUAUAAUAUAGCUACAACACAAUCCCUAGCCAUAAUCACAACCAAUAAGGUAAAGAAUACAAGUACCUGAAUAAAAAUAAGCAUACUUACCAAAAAAUAAUAAAAAUACCAAAAUU
rnacentral:misc_RNA from 1 species